rnacentral:lncRNA from 1 species
GGGGGGGGGGGAGGGGGGCAGAGGGGCGGGGAGGGGGAGAAGGUGGGGGGCGGGAGUCUCCGGGCCUGAGCCGCCCGUAGGAGCGCACGCCGCAGCGCAGCCGGACGCUCCCCGGCAGCUGUUUAACGCGCGCCUCUAGGAGGAAAGUGGCUCCGCCAACCCGAGGGGCGUCCCUGCAGGCUAGUGAAACGUCCCGCGGCCAAGAGGACGCGGAGACACGGGGAGGCGGGCGCAGGCAGGCUGGUGGAGCACAACAAAGCAGAGGCGCGCGAGGGAGCUCGAGGUUGCCCGGCUGCCGGCGGCCGAGCGCCAGCGGGGCUGUGGCCAUCUCCACGCGCUCAGGACAUGGCAAGUUUGUCAACUCCCGCCUCUGUGUCCAGCGCCUAGCUGCCCACGAAGUGACAGCACGGCAGGGUCUGCCCCCAGAGGGACGGCGCCCGGCCCGUCCCCGGCCCGCUGCAAAAUGCUCCACUGCAGACCAGGUCGCCCUUCCUUUCCACCUUACCGGAUCCCAACGGCAGGGGGAGAAGUUCAGGGAGGUGGCGCCAGGUUACCGGCUCUCUUUUCCUGAAGGCACCGACACCCGAUGCUGGCCGCGGGGUGCUAGUCAGUGUGUGAACGUGUUUCCACCUACUCACCCACCCCCACUACCCGAGCGGCCGCGCCCCUUUCCCCCAUACCCCUGCUCCUCCCCACACUCCUUUCCACCUGUGGGACGUCGCUUUCGCGCUGGACGCGCAAAUGAAAACACGCACACGUGCAGACACGAGUCCACGUUGGCAUCCUCACGAGACUCCUGAAGGGCGGAGGCCUGGCGGGGCGGUAGGGGAGGGGGCGGAUCUUGAGUACCCGGGCCCUCCCAAGUGCAGGGCCAGCAGCUCUCCUGCCCUUCGGACUGGACUCCUGUGUCCGGGUGCCAGCGGAGCGCGGCGCCUCCCAGGGAGGCUGCCGAACUUGGCACGUUGCUGGGGCACCAGAAAGCAGCCCUCCCUUCCCCCUCCCCAGUGGCCGGUGGCCUGGGCCGCUGCCUGGCCGGUCCCCCAGGACGUGCCCACCCCCAUCUGGCAUCGCCCGCAGGUCCCCACGCCG